rnacentral:lncRNA from 1 species
UGGCCACGUCGGGCACGGCAGAUGAGUCAUCCUCGCCGGACCUGGAGGUUCGGUGGCUGAGCGUGGCGGAGCCGACGCGCGCUGCGCUGCCGGCCGGGGUGACGGCCCGCGGGCUGACCUCCCCGCCUCCGCUGGUGAAGGAUGUGCUUCGCAUCGAGCGCUGGCUGCCGUGCCCACCCCUGUCCUCCUCCAGUGCCUGCCAAAAUAAAGCUGCAUCUCAGGUUCUUCAAUUGGCUUGGUUCAUUCUUACAGAAUCGAGGACGGACAGGACUGCACUUGCCGUAAGAGAAUGUCCAGGUAGGGGUCAUUCUGUAGUAUGUCAUGAAAAUAAACCCACCUUUUCCUCAAUGAGGUUGCCGCACAGGCUGGGGUCUUCCAGCAAUGCCAUCCACAUCCGGGAGCGCAGCUCUUGGGGUGCGUCCUCACAGAGGAGAUGGCCCACCUG